rnacentral:rRNA from 1 species
UAGGCGACCGGGUGAGUAACGCGUGACUAACCUACCCUCGAGUGGGGAAUAACUCCGGGAAACCGGGGCUAAUACCGCAUAACAUCUUCGGAACGCGAGUUCUGUUGAUCAAAGGAGCAAUUCGCUUGAGGAGGGAGUCGCGGCUGAUUAGCUAGUUGGCGGGGUAAUGGCCCACCAAGGCUUAGAUCGGUAGCCGGCCUGAGAGGGCGCACGGCCACACUGGAACUGAAACACGGUCCAG